UACGAAGGGUGCAAACGUUGCUCGGAAUCAUUGGGCGUAAAGCGCACGUAGGCGGCCUUGCAAGUCGGAUGUGAAAUCCCACGGCUCAACCGUGGACGUGCAUCCGAAACUGCUCGGCUCGAGUAUGGAAGAGGGUCGCGGAAUUCCCGGUGUAGAGGUGAAAUGCGUAGAUAUCAGGAGGAAUACCGGUGGCGAAAGCGACUCUCUGGACGGCAACUGACGCUGAGGCACGAAAGCGUGGGGAGCAAACAGG
rnacentral:rRNA from 1 species